rnacentral:rRNA from 1 species
GACGAACGCUGGCGGCGUGCUUAACACAUGCAAGUCGAACGGAAAGGCCCUGCUUUUGUGGGGUGCUCGAGUGGCGAAAGGGUGAGUAACACGUGAGUAACCUGCCCUUGACUUUGGGAUAACUUCAGGAAACUGGGGCUAAUACCGGAUAGGAGCUCCUGCUGCAUGGUGGGGGUUGGAAAGUUUCGGCGGUUGGGGAUGGACUCGCGGCUUAUCAGCUUGUUGGUGGGGUAGUGGCUUACCAAGGCUUUGACGGGUAGCCGGCCUGAGAGGGUGACCGGCCACAUUGGGACUGAGAUACGGCCCAGACUCCUACGGGAGGCAGCAGUGGGGAAUAUUGCACAAUGGGCGGAAGCCUGAUGCAGCAACGCCGCGUGCGGGAUGACGGCCUUCGGGUUGUGAACCGCUUUCGCCUGUGACGAAGCGUGAGUGACGGUAAUGGGUAAAGAAGCACCGGCUAACUACGUG